rnacentral:rRNA from 1 species
UUGAACGCUGGCGGCAUGCUUUACACAUGCAAGUCGCACGGCAGCGCGGGCUUCGGCCUGGCGGCGAGUGGCGAACGGGUGAGUAAUGCAUCGGAACGUGCCCAGUAGUGGGGGAUAGCCCGGCGAAAGCCGGAUUAAUACCGCAUACGACCUGAGGGUGAAAGCGGGGGACCGAAAGGCCUCGCGCUAUUGGAGCGGCCGAUGUCGGAUUAGCUAGUUGGUGGGGUAAAGGCUUACCAAGGCGACGAUCCGUAGCUGGUCUGAGAGGACGACCAGCCACACUGGGACUGAGACACGGCCCAGACUCCUACGGGAGGCAGCAGUGGGGAAUUUUGGACAAUGGGGGCAACCCUGAUCCAGCCAUGCCGCGUGCGGGAAGAAGGCCUUCGGGUUGUAAACCGCUUUUGUUCGGGAAGAAAUCCUCUGGGCUAAUACCCCGGGGGGAUGACGGUACCGGAAGAAUAAGCACCGGCUAACUACGUG